GGCACUGUGGCGCAAUGGUAGCGUGUGCGCCUCCUAUUUCUAAUGCAAUCGUGGUUUUAGUAUAGGAGUCCAGCGUGAGGUUUAGGGUUCGAGUCCCUACUGUGUCA